CGACUCUCGGCAACGGAUAUCUCGGCUCACGCAUCGAUGAAGAACGUAGCAAAAUGCGAUACUUGGUGUGAAUUGCAGAAUCCCGUGAACCAUCGAGUUUUUGAACGCAAGUUGCGCCCGAAGCUAUUCGGUUGAGGGCACGUCUGCCUGGGCGUCACG
rnacentral:rRNA from 1 species